CACGUAGGGUGCGAGCGUUGUCCGGAAUUAUUGGGCGUAAAGAGCUCGUAGGCGGUGUGUCACGUCGGCCGUGAAAACCUGCAGCUUAACUGUGGGCGUGCGGUCGAUACGGGCAUCACUGGAGUUCGGCAGGGGAGACUGGAAUUCCUGGUGUAGCGGUGGAAUGCGCAGAUAUCAGGAGGAACACCGAUGGCGAAGGCAGGUCUCUGGGCCACUACUGACGCUGAGAAGCGAAAGCAUGGGGAGCGAACAGG
rnacentral:rRNA from 1 species